UUUCCUACGGGGCGCAGCAGUGGGGAAUAUUGCACAAUGGGGGGAACCCUGAUGCAGCAAUGCCGCGUGGAGGAUGAAGGUUUUCGGAUUGUAAACUCCUUUUGUACGGGACGAAGAAAGUGACGGUACCGUAAGAAUAAGCCACGGCUAAAUACGUGCCAGCAGCCGCGGUAAUACGUAGGUGGCAAGCGUUAUCCGGAUUUACUGGGUGUAAAGGGCGAGUAGGCGGGGUUGCAAGUCAGAUGUGAAAACUAUGGGCUAAACCGAAAGAGUGCAUGUGAAAGUG
rnacentral:rRNA from 1 species